UACUAGCAGUCGAGCGAACAGAUGAAGUGCUUGCACUUCUGACGUUAGCGGCGAACGGGUGAGUAACACGUAAGGAAUCUACCUAUAAGCGGGGGAUAACAUUCGGAAACGGGUGCUAAUACCGCAUAAUAUCUUCUUCCGCAUGGAAGAAGAUUGAAAGACGGCUCUGCUGUCACUUAUAGAUGACCUUGCGGUGCAUUAGUUAGUUGGUGGGGUAACGGCCUACCAAGACGAUGAUGCAUAGCCGACCUGAGAGGGUGAUCGGCCACAUUGGGACUGAGACACGGCCCAAACUCCUACGGGAGGCAGCAGUAGGGAAUCUUCCGCAAUGGGCGAAAGCCUGACGGAGCAAUGCCGCGUGAGUGAAGAAGGCCUUCGGGUCGUAAAACUCUGUUAUAAGAGAAGAACAAAUUGUAGAGUAACUGCUACAGUCUUGACGGUAUCUUAUCAGAAAGCCACGGCUAACUACGUGCCAGCAGCCGCGGUAAUACGUAGGUGGCAAGCGUUGUCCGGAUUUAUUGGGCGUAAAGGGAGCGCAGGUGGUUUCUUAAGUCUGAUGUGAAAGCCCACGGCUUAACCGUGGAGGGUCAUUGGAAACUGGGAAACUUGAGUACAGAAGAGGAAUGUGGAACUCCAUGUGUAGCGGUGGAAUGCGUAGAUAUAUGGAAGAACACCAGUGGCGAAGGCGACAUUCUGGUCUGUUACUGACACUGAGGCUCGAAAGCGUGGGGAGCAAACAGGAUUAGAUACCCUGGUAGUCCACGCCGUAAACGAUGAGUGCUAGGUGUUGGAGGGUUUCCGCCCUUCAGUGCCGCAGUUAACGCAUUAAGCACUCCGCCUGGGGAGUACGACCGCAAGGUUGAAACUCAAAGGAAUUGACGGGGACCCGCACAAGCGGUGGAGCAUG
rnacentral:rRNA from 1 species